AACAAGAUGCAAAGGAGGGGCAUCUUGAAGUCUCUGGAGAGUUAAGGGGCAGAGAAAAGACAAUUUCUGAAAAGUCCUUUCUUCUGUUUCCUGCUGGGCCAGGUGGAGAUCUGUUUACGUCAAUGAAGUAACUUUUGAAGCAGAUGCUUUUUCACCAUGACAAAACAAAAUGUAGUCAAGACAAUUUGUACCCAUACGAAUAAACCAUCAGAGGACAAAGAGUUCGGUUAUACAGGCUGAUGAAGGAACACAGCAAUUUGUAGAAGAAAAACACAACUGCUAGUGUUGAAAAACUUUGAAACAUAAGGAAGGCAUGCUUGCCUUUGUUUCCAAGACAUGAUGAGAGCCAAUCAGAAGUCUAAACUUUCAAUAGGAGGGAAAAAAAAUCAGCUUCAAAUAAAUGCCCUUUAAAUGAAUCACUCCGUGUCAGUUUCUCCUCCAUGUAAAAAUCUGAUUUAUAACAGAGACCCUCAAAAGUUCUUGUAUGUGCAGUGGGUUGGGAAGAAAGUUUGGGAAGGCUUGGGAGUGAUAGCUCAAGGCUUUACUGUUGUGUGUUAUUUGUUCCCAAGCUGAGGCCUCGUGCCAGGAGUUACUCUGCAGGAAGAACAUGUUAAAGGCCCGUGCUUAGCAGGUUAAAGAUUGCUGGUGGACUUAGAACAGAGA
rnacentral:lncRNA from 1 species